AGUUGUAUAGUAAUAGGCGUGCGGUGAAAUGGAAAUUGAUUUGACUGAUAGGCCCAUUGUUGUUUAGAUAUGAUUGUGAUUGCUUCUGGGAUGAGUUAUGAGUGUUAUCCUUUCUCGGAAAUUAUUUUUGCAUAGUUACAUUGGGGCAUUUCUUUUAAUGGUCCCCUUAAGGGAGAAUUUGGAAGGCCUAUUUCAUUUGAUUUGUACAUUUUGUUCGAGUCUAUUUAGUUAUUUGCUUGGACAAGAGGAUGAAAACCGAUGGGGUUAAAUUCCUUUCCCUUCAUUUUUUGUCUUCAAUGUUUGGAUUUGAGUGAGAUAUCUUACACUCCUUGGACCAAACAUUACAUUGGGCAUUCCUUGUUUGAGCUUUUAUUCUAUUGUGAAUUAUGGAAUGAAGAAAUAUUAUUAAUAGUGUCUUGUUAUCUUACCCA
rnacentral:lncRNA from 1 species